rnacentral:rRNA from 1 species
GAUGAACGCUGGCGGCGUGCCUAAUACAUGCAAGUCGAGCGAACGGACGAGAAGCUUGCUUCUCUGAUGUUAGCGGCGGACGGGUGAGUAACACGUGGAUAACCUACCUAUAAGACUGGGAUAACUUCGGGAAACCGGAGCUAAUACCGGAUAAUAUUUUGAACCGCAUGGUUCAAAAGUGAAAGACGGUCUUGCUGUCACUUAUAGAUGGAUCCGCGCUGCAUUAGCUAGUUGGUAAGGUAACGGCUUACCAAGGCAACGAUGCAUAGCCGACCUGAGAGGGUGAUCGGCCACACUGGAACUGAGACACGGUCCAGACUCCUGCGGGAGGCAGCAGUAGGGAAUCUUCCGCAAUGGGCGACAGCCUGACGGAGCAACGCCGCGUGAGUGAUGAAGGUCUUCGGAUCGUAAAACUCUGUUAUUAGGGAAGAACAUAUGUGUAAGUAACUGUGCACAUCUUGACGGUACCUAAUCAGAAAGCCACGGCUAACUACGUG